GGGGGUGGAACCCCAUAUGAAUCUCAAAAAUGAGCAUCGGUAAAAAUGAUAUGUGAAUUUCCGCUGCACCAGAUGUGAAGCAUAACAUCAGAUGUGACUGGAAAAAUAGGCCGAUCGCAGGGAAAAUGGGUCGUUUUCUAGGCACAAAAAGGAAAGGUUUAAAACUUUCAAGAAUAAAACGUCACGUGUAUCGUGAAAAGAGGAAGUCAUCAGCGCUUACAUAUCCUUUUUUCGCCUUUUAAAUUGUCCCCAUGUGUCAAAAGAUUCCGCGUAUCGCAGACUCCAAAGUCCAAGAAUUCACCAGAAAGUGCACGUAUUACUUUUUCCAGUUCAAAGAAAAAACGCUUAAUAUUCAAUUCACAACUAUUAAGUCCCAUGAAAUGUUCUCCACAGAAAGGAUUUGCAAAGAUAAAUAAAGUCAGUUGCAAUGAACAGAUAGACAUUAUGGAUGACAUGGGUUACAUAAAAAGUAACCGAGGUUUCGGGUGGGAAAUUUAAUUUAUGGAGAGAAGCCAAUCAUAAAUUGAAAUUUUAUGUUUAUUAAAAUUCUCAUUUCUGUUUAUCAUGCGAUAAAACAGUUAUAAUAUAUCGAACUCGACUAUUAUGUAGAAAUAUCAUGACCUGGGGCGGCAUCUCGGGUUUUCCUUACAGACAAUGUUCUCGGCCCAUAUCCUGUAAAGAAAAACCUUCGAUGUCGCAUCAGGCCAUGAUAUUUACACAUAACAGUCUGUCGCUAUAACUAUAACUUGUGGAAUAUUAAAGUUAUAGAUAUUUUUAUGAAUGUAAACAUUAUUAAAGAAACAUAUUAUAUGACACGAUAGGUACUCAUAAGAGUACUAUCCGCUCUGCGUCAACAUUUUCAUGUACUCGAGCCUUUUAGUAUUUCUAAUGCUAGUAUAAGCUAGUAAGCUCUGUCACUGUGGUAAUCAAACACACUAAUGUUACAAUUAAACUUUCAGCCAAAGAUGCAAAACCUAUAUUGUUUCUAUACAUUGGCUAUUCAAUGAUUAUAUGGAAGAGGUCCGUAGUUUUGUAGAUGGUUUUCUACAUCACUUAUGAAUCUCUUCAGCACAUCUGGAGCUCAAAUGCAAUUUUGAGCAGCGAUUCCCUUGUAUGUAGCCAAAUCUCAAUAAAUAUUUAAACCAG